CACAACCACACCACACACUGACACACAGCUACACACCACACAGCUACACACACACACACAUGUGUUCUCAAAUUCCCCAGCACUUUAAAAAGACAGACUUGUACUUACAUACUUUACGGAAACUUCACAAACCUACGCACCCACAUGCUGAGACCUAACACCUUUGUAACUAGAGUAGAUGUGUGAAUGGGACAUGCAUCGAACGGCUGUUGCUCUUCAUGUCGACAACACAGAACAUGGGCAAUGGAUAUGACACACACAUACACUGGACCAAGAUAAAGAGGACUACGCUAUUAGGACAUAGAAAACAUUACAGAAGACAGGAUGGCUGCAUGGGGUCCUGUUUGGCCAGGGGCUGUGUGAUAUGUUUGAUAUUCGGUUGUUUUCCUGCGUAAUCAAGUCAACUAAAUAUCAGACAUAUUCCUACAGAGCCUGGCACACAUCUACAGAGCCUGGAUACUAACAGGCCAGUCGAGUCAGAUAAUCAGGGUUUGUAUUGUUUGUAAAUCAUUUAAAAAUGCUUUAUUCAUGAGCUUUGAUUUGACUUUAUUCUAAAGAGUGAUCCAGUUUUUGAAUAGACGAGCAUGGACGACUAUAUUGUAAAUUAAAAUGAAACAAACAUUUCUAGUUGAUAUCUCUUAACAUUAUUAUAAUAACCAAUUGACAACAUUCAGGCAAUGUAAUGUAGUAUUAGGUUGCUUAGAUUUCGUUAAAAAAAUAUAUCUAUAUUAUCUUUGCUGUUGCAUCUACUUUGAAUAAAGACGGUUAAACCUGACUGAUUGGAACAUGUUGCCACAGUGUGCAGACUGUAUACUGUGUAUACAGAAAACAUUGAACAAAUGAGAACUGCGGAGGUGUGAGGGUUAAUGUCGUUUGAUGUCAGAGUAUUGGUGUGCACCUCCAGUUUGACGGCUGCCAACAGACUCUGCCCACAAAACAAAUAACCAUUUACAGUUCACUACGGUUUGUCCACAAACAAAUGCAAAUGUGCCUUUUUUGGGGCAGUACAGCGAAUUGUAUCUGGUUGUCAGGUCACUGAGGGUACAGUUGACUUUUACUAUCUGCAACAGUUUAUAACUAUUAUAUAGAUAUCAGGCGCAGAUAUACCAAAUCCGCUGUUGAUAUCUGAAUUGGGACUGAUGCACUUACACAAAGAUUGUGUUAUCCCAUGUGCACUAAU
rnacentral:lncRNA from 13 species